rnacentral:rRNA from 1 species
AUUGAACGCUGGCGGCAGGCCUAACACAUGCAAGUCGAACGAGUGGCGGACGGGUGAGUAAUGUCUGGGAAACUGCCUGAUGGAGGGGUAUAACUACUGGAAACGGUAGCUAAUACCGCAUACCAUCAGAUGUGCCCAGGGGGGAUUAGCGAGUUGGUGGGGUAACGGCUCACCAAGGCGACGAUCCCUAGCUGGUCUGAGAGGAUGACCAGCCACACUGGAACUGAGAAACGGUCCAGACUCCUACGGGAGGCAGCAGUGGGGAAUAUUGCACAAUGGGCGAAAGCCUGAUGCAGCCAUGCCGCGUGUAUGAAGAAGGCCUUCGGGUUGUAAAGGACUGUCAGCGGGGAGGCGUUACCCGAAGAAGAAGCACCGGCUAACUCCGUGCCAGCAGCCGCGGUAAUAC